AGAAAACACAGUUAAGCUACGAGUUUAUGGUUAUAAUUGCACUGUAGUAAAACCAUGGCUAAUUUUGAAGUUACUCUGAUUUUACUUCAAAAACAUAGUUAAACCAUGGUUCUUGUAGUUAAACUAUGGUUAAUGUUGUAGUUACCAUGGUUGUAUUAAAAAUGCUAGAGUAAAACUAUGCUUAAUUUUGUGGUUACUAUGGUUUUACUACAAAAACUAUAGUUAAAUCAUAUGGUUACUGUAGUAAAACCAUGGUUAAUUUUUAUCUACAGGGUUUCCAAUAGAUAGAUUAAUAAAUACAUGCAUACAUUCACAAACAUACAAAAAUAAAAGAUAUUGAUUAGUGAAGAGUGAAGAUGUCAGAUUUGCGGUCAGCCUUUGUAUAGAAACACAACUAGUUUUAUGUAAUUUAAUGGCAGAGUAGGAAAAAUGGCAGAGUGUUGUAAAUGUACAUUAAGAAAAAAAGAAAAUCUAAACAAUUUCUAGAUUUACGAUACUAAUAGCUGUGGAAAUGCAUUAUGCAUAUAAUAGAGAUCAGUGUGUAAGCGGGACUUUUAUUUUGCUCUGCCGAUGUGACGUCAUAAAGCUGCGCCGCGCUCCAGCAUCUGUUGUGAUUGACGUGAAGGAAGGAAAAAGUGUCCAAACAAACAGAAAAACUCCUGCUGAAGCGACUGAGAUCCAUGUGACACAAUUAUAAAGAUGGCGUUUAUUAAAGUGGAGAGUGAAGACAUGAAGAUAGAAGAAACAUUCAGAGUCAAACAUGAAGAUACUGAGACACAAACAAAGAUGGCGUUUAUUAAAGAGGAGAGUGGAAACAUAAGGAUUGAAGAAACAUUCAGUCUGAAACAUGAAGAUACUGAGGAACAAACAGACCUAAUGGCACUGAAAGAGGAGCGGGAAGUACUGAAUGAAACUGAAGAGACAGAUCAGUAUGAGAAUCUUCAUGAUUUUAUAACUGAAGAAAAAUCUUUUUGUUCCUUACAGUCUGAAAAGACUUCCACACGAAAAAGAGCUCAAAAGACAGAAACUAGGAGUUAUUUCACUUGCUUUCAGUGUGGAAAGAGUUUCAAUCAACAAGGAAACCUUAACAAGCACAUGAGAAUUCACAAUAGAGAGAAGCCUAACAGAUCCCCUCAGUCUGGAAAUAGUUUCAGUCAAAAUGGAAACAUUGAUGUCCACAUGCAAAUUCACACUAUGGAGAGCCUUUUUACCUGCCAACAGUGUGGAAACAGUUUCACUCAUAAAGGAGGCCUUAACAGGCACAUGAGAACUCACACAGGAGAGAAACCUUACACAUGUUAUCAGUGUGGAAAGAGUUUCAGUCAACCUGGAAACCUUAAAGUCCACAUGAGACUUCACACCGGAGAGAAACCCUUCAUCUGCCACCUGUGUAGAAAAGCUUUCAAGCGAAAACAAAACCUUAAUGUUCAUAUGAAAAUUCACACUGGAGAAAAGCUUUACACGUGCCCUCAGUGUGGAAAGAUUUUCACUCAAAAACGACACCUUGAAGCCCACAUGAAAAUUCAUACCAUGGAGAACCUUUUUACCUGCCAACAGUGUGGAAACUGUUUCACUCGUGAAGGAAGACUUAACAUGCACAUGAGAACUCACACUGGAGAGAAGCCUUACACAUGCCCUCAGUGUGGAAAGAGUUUCAGUAAUCCUGGAAACCUUAAAGUCCACGUGAGAGUUCACACCGGAGAGAAGCCUUACACCUGCCAAUGGUGUGGAAAGAGUUUUAGUCAACAUGUAAAUCUUGAAGCUCACAUGAGAAUGCACACUAGAGAGAAGCCUUUCACCUGCAAACAGUGUGGAAGAAGUUUCAAAAGAAAAGGAAACCUUAAGUACCACAUGAGAGUUCACACUGGAAAGAAACCCUUUCCCUGCCAUCUAUGUAGAAAAAGUUUCAAGCAAAAACGAAACCUUUAUGCCCACAGGCAAAUUCAUGCUAUGGAGAGAUUUUUUACCUGCCAACAGUGUGGAAAGAGUUUCACUCAUAAAGGAUACCUUAACAGGCACAUGAGAUCUCACACUGGAGAGAAGUUUCAACCGAAAAGGUAACCUUAAAUUCCACAUGAAGAUUUGCUCAAGACGGACCUGUUUAAAUGUCAUCAGUGUGGAGUGAGUUUUACCGACAAGAAAAACCUAGGAAUAAUGCAGGGACAUUGGAAAGAAGCCUGCUACACUGCAAAAAAUGGCUUAUCUUAUUUAGUAUUUUUGUCUUGUUUCUAGUCAAAAUAGCUAAAAAUUCUUAAAUCAAGAUACUUUCACUAGAUAAGCAAAAUUACCUAAGAUAUUCAGUCUCGUUUUCAGGGGGGAAAAAACUAAAUUAAGUGUAUUUUGCUUAAAAUAAGUCAAAUUAUCUAUGAAUUUUUAGAUAUUUUGACUAGAAACAAGACAAAAAUACUAAGUAAGAUAAGCCAUUUUUUGCAGUGUAUGUGCCAUCACUGUGGAAAGACUUCCAGAAACAAAGGAAAUCUUGAGUUCCCUUCUGAGGGAAGAUAGAACUGCGUCCUCUAGCGGUCGCUAUGGGGAAUGCCUUCGGCGUGACCGGUGUCUGAAGCAUACAUCGAAACACAACAAUAACAUUGGCUGGCAACAGCCUAUGACGUCAUUACUGGCGCGACCACAGUAUAAAAGGGCGCCAGAAGAAUGCGUCAUCCUCUUCUUCGUCUUCACUGACUGUUUGUUUAUGUUAGCGGUAAGCUAAGCACGACUAGAAGUGCAUGUUCUUUCGCCAGAGGCUUUGCUCUGAUACCUGCUCGCGUGUUGUGUGUGUGGUGAAGAGUAAGCGUGUUCAUCUCUCGAGGGAGUUGAAUGUGCUCAUUGCAUUCAUUGCUUAUUUCUACAUACUCGACUCAUGAGGAGACAGCUUGUUGGGUGUGGUAGAGUAUCAUGCUCUCUGGGGCUAGAGGCAAGACUUGAGGGAGGUGAUCCAGAUGAGGCGUUCUCAACGCCUUCAUCCAGACCAGAGUAAAACCUGAAACAUCUACUCACUUCCCUCUGAGGGUAUUAACAUCUGCUCUCAUCUUUCUCCCCUUAAUUCUGAAGCCACCAUACCCUUCACCUGAUCGAGGUUAGGUAGGAGCCUCCUGCACUUGCAUUGCAGUCUCUCAUGCUGGACCUAUGAUGUUUUUGGUUAGUUUCUAUGUCUCGUAGAUCUACCUACUGAUGGUCCGGGUCCAAGUGUUCUUCGGACUUCACCUUCAGAAUGUGUCCUUGAGCUUGAGUCAUGCACGAAAGCCGUGAUGGAUGAGGUUAGGACCUCUGCGAGCACCUCCCCUGCUGAAGUCAGAACCUCUUGCUGUCGACCAAUUGUGGUGAUGGUCUCACCCGUCGGUACUGUAUCCAGGCUGGAUAGCCCUACAUCUUCGGCCUCAUGCUUGCUGGAUCAUGCAGCCAAGUCUCUAGGCUUCUGUGGGAGCCUCCUUGGUCAUCAGGUCCCCAGUAUUGCGCUGCAAUCUCAGGACUCGUGGGUCCUCCAUUCAGAUCUCAUGGCACUGAAAGUGAAAUAUCAAGAACUGAAUAAAACAGGAGAGAAAGAUCAAAAUGAGAAUCACUAUGAUUUCAAAAUCAAUUAGUUGCUCACAGACUGAAAAGACUUCCUCACCAAAAAAAAAAAGCUAAAACAACACAAAUUACAACCUCAAUUCCAACAUGAGAAUUCAUACUGGAUAGAGCUCUUUUCACCUGCCAACAGCGUGGACAAAUUUUCAAUGGAAAAGAAAGCCUUGAAGUCCACAUGAAAAUUCACAUUGAAAAGAACUCGUUAAUAUGCCCUCAGUGUGGAAAAAGUUUUACAUGAAAAAAUCACCUUAAUGCCCACAUGAUCGUUCACACUGGAGAGAAGCCAUUCACCUGCCCUCAGAGUGGAAAGAGUUUCACGAUUAAAGGAAAACUUAAGAUUCACAUUAGAACUCACACUGGAGAGAAGCCUUUUGUAUGUGAUCAGUGUGGAAAGAGUUUUACAGAGAAAAAAACUCAAUGCCCACAUGAGAAUUCACACUGGACAGAGUCCUUUCACCUGCGGAAAGUGUGGGAAGGACUUCACACGAAAGUAAACUAUUAAUCCUUGUGCAACCUUAUGGGCAUUUUGUGUUAAUGCUAACUGCAUACAUUUUGUAUUUUUGUUGGAAUUUUAAUAUUUCACCCUCAUUUCCUUCAAUAAAUCUAUUUUACACUAGGUACAAAAAAGUGAACCACUCGGCACCUUUUGGACAAAAAUGUCCUCAUUGAAACCCAUUAAAACUACGAUUUUUAAUCCUAGGGCCAUUUAACUAUAAAAUUAUGCAAUAUUUGUUAGUAGGCUUUCAUUCUGUUGGCAUGGCUUCAAAAUUAAAAUUGACAAUUUUUUACUAGAUGGUGCCAUUUUUUUUUUCAAAUUUGGCAUAUAAAGCAAAUACUCACUUUAUUCCUGUUUUCUGCUUAUGCAUAUUGUCUAUUAUAGUGUCAAUUGGAUAAAUUAUGCAGCUGUAAUUGUGUGGGUAUGUUGGUAUGGAUGUCAAGAGUGUGGUUUGUAUGUGUGUGUACUGAAAAUUUUAGGUGUGUGUAAAUAAUUUGAAAGAAAGAAAUUUUAUAUUUUACUAGAAAUCAAAAAUCCCACCCCAUGUAUACGAGUCACACCCUUGGCAGGGUCAUAGGGCCAUGUGGAAACUAUGAAUAAGGUCAAAGAAGGUUACUGAGCUUUGAAGAUGUUUAUUUUUUUUUUUUAUUCAAAUGCAUCUUAUUCCUUGAUUGCAUUUUAUCGUUUGUUAUUGUUUUUAUACAGAGAUAAAAGGUGAGCUUGGUUUUGAUGUAGAAAUUUACAAGCCCCUGAACACCUUGUUUUUGUUUUCGCCACAAGAAAAUGCUGAUUGUUUAGUCUGGUAGAUUUUAGACAAAGUCUGAGUUGACACAGGUGUUCUCACAGCCAAACCUAUAAAUAUGUGAUGCUUGAGGGCCUGGUCAUUUCAUAGUUUGCAAGAUGCAAGAUUUUGAUUCCACCGACAUGCAGGCAUACAUCGGGCUGCUGAUUCUGGCCGGCGUAUAAAGGUCCAGAAAUGAAUCAUCACAGAGCCUGUGGGAUGUGAAAAGUGGACGGCCCAUUUUCUGAGCUACCAUGUCCCACCGUAUUUCCAGCUCCUAAGCUCCACCCUGAGGUUCGAUGACAGGCUGUCAUGACCGGCACGUCAAAGGCACGACAAGCUGGCUGCAUUUCUGACUAUCUGGGAGAAGUCAAGUCACUUUUAUUUAUAGAGCGCUUCUAACAAUACAGAUUGUGUCAAAGCACUUAACAGUAUCAAAUUGGAGGAUAGAGUGUCAGUGAUGUAUAAUGAUAAGAUUAAACACUCAAUUUUCAGUUAAAGGCAUUUCAUUAUUGAAUUCAGAGAUGUCAUCGUCUAGCUCAGUUUAGUUUAAAUAGUAUCUGUGCAAUCAAAUCAGUGGAAAUCGCUAGAAAUUAAGUGUCCCCAACUGAGCAAGCCAGAGGCGACAGCGGCAAGGAACCAAAACUCCCUCUGAGACAGAAUGGAGAAAAAAAAACCUUGGGAGAAACCAGGCUCAGUCGGGGGGCCAGUUCUCCUCUGACCAGACGAAACCCGCAGUUCAAAAGUUUAUAUUUCUAUUUUGAUUUUGUUGCAAUUUCUAACAAUAGUAGUAUUAUGUAGUUAGGUAUUUUAUUAUAUUUUUAGUUAUUUUGUUAAGUUUUAUUGUAUUUUAAUCGAGGUUUUCGCUGGGGAUAUGUCUCUGGGGGUCCUGGUCUCCGCUGACGAUCAGGGCUGUAGACAUCAUCUCUUGGUGCUGAUCCACCAUCUGAUCGGAUACGGACUGAGAAACAGAAUAGGAAAGAAACAGACAAAUAUUAGCGUAGAUGCCAUUCUUCUUACGAUGUAACGAGUACAUCGUGUGUUAUGGGGAGUGUUCCCGGUUCCGGUUGAUCUAAUUAAUGCAGCCUAACAAUCCUUUAACGGAUUUGAAUAAUAGAAGCGUGUGUCGUUAUGUGUACGCCAGGCUAAAGAGAUGGGUCUUUAAUCUAGAUUUAAACUGACAGAGUGUGUCUGCCUCCUGAACAGUGUUAGGUAGAUUGUUCCAGAGUUUGGGUGCUAAAUAGGAAUAGGAUCUGCCGCCCGCAGUCGAUUUUGAUAUUCUAGGUAUUAUCAAAUGGCCAGAGUUUUGAGAACGCAGCGGACGUGGAGGACUAUAAUGCGAUAAGAGCUCGCUCAAGUACUGAGGAGCUAAACCAUUCAGGGCUUUAUAAGUAAUUAACAAGAUUUUAAAAUCUAUCCGAUGCUUGAUAGGGAGCCAGUGCAGUGUUGACAGAACCGGGCUAAUAUGGUCAUAUUUCCUGGUUCUAGUAAGGACUCUAGCUGCUGCAUUUUGGACUAACUGUAGUUUGUUGAUCAAGCGUGCAGAACAACCACCCAAUAAAGCAUAAGGUCAUAAAUGCAUGAACUAACAUUUCUGCAUUUGACGUUGAGAGCAUAGGUCGCAAUUUAGAUAUGCAUCGCCUUCCUCUGCUGUUCUCACGGAGACAGGGCAUCCCCCGCCAACCAUCUACCUCCACCAUGGUAGAGGAUCAACAGCAGGAAGUACCUAACACCAAAAAGAGGAAGUUCUGCACUGACAAAAAGAAAAAAAGCGUGGCAAGGUUAUCUGCAAAGACCACACAUUCACAUACUGCAGCUCCUGCUGUAAGUGAAUUCUCUCUCACUCACUUGUGCGUAUGCCUGCUAUUUCUGUUCUGAGUUUUGAACAAUAAAUCUUGUUCUUGCUCAAAGUGAUCUUGUAUUUUUGUUUUAUUUCUAAAGCAAUAUAAGGAAAUAUUUUACUAAAAAGUAAAAACUUUGGAGGGUAAUAGGAGUAAUAAAAACAAUGUUUUGACACAGACAUUUUUGUCCUUCAAGGACCCGAGUGGUAGUUUUUCUUUUUUAAAUCUAACAUUGCACAAAAAAUAAUAAAUGUAUAAUAAUCAAAGGGAAAAAAAUCAGCUUAGCAUUUAGUACAUUAUGUAAAGAAAUCAGCAUUUAAAGUGUUAAAAUUCUGAAAAUGAAUGAAUGUUUGGUAAUUAUGAUUAGAACUGAUGCUGGUAAAAAAAAUCUGUGAAAGGGGGAAAAAAUAUUAAUAUAUAAUAUUUUUAUAACAGUUUUUGGAGAUGGACAUUUUUGUCCUUUAUGGACAUGAGUGGUAGUUUUUUUUUUUUUUUCUUAAUCUGACACUACAUGAAAAAUAUGAAUGCCUCAAAAUUAAUGUUGUUCAUCACUGAUGCAUCCAAGACUGUAAUAAAAAAAGAAAAAAGAAAAAAAUCUGCUUAGCAUUUAGUAUAUGGAA